GCACAUCUGAUGAGUCCAACAAUAAGACGAAACGGCCGUUCAGUGU
rnacentral:hammerhead_ribozyme from 1 species